rnacentral:rRNA from 1 species
ACCCUCGGCGAUGGCAACACCUGCAAGUUCUGGCAGGAUCAUUGGCUCCAUGGCAAAUCCAUUCCUGAGAUCGCUCCCACCCUAUCCUCUUUCGUCCUGAGGCGCCGAAGAGGAUGACGACUUGUGCGUGAAGCUCUCACAAACCGCGGCUGGAUCACUGAUAUCCAUGGCAACUUAAACCCUAUGGCAGUCAUUGAAUACGUCCAGUUGUGGAGAAUGCUACAAGGCAUUGAGCUCUCUGAGGAGCCGGACAAGCUGUCCUGGAGGUGGACUGUCGACGGCAGCUACUCGGCACGUUGA